rnacentral:rRNA from 1 species
UACAGAGGGGGCAAGCGUUAUUCGGAAUUAUUGGGCGUAAAGGGCGCGUAGGCGGCUUGGCAAGUGGAUGGUGAAAUCCCUCGGCUUAACCGAGGAACUGCCGUCCAAACUGCUUUGCUUGAGACCGGGAGAGGUGAGUGGAAUUCCCAGUGUAGCGGUGAAAUUGCGUAGAUAUUGGGAAGGAACACCAGUGGCGAAGGCGGCUCACUGGACCGGUACUGACGGCUGAUGCGCGAAAGCGUGGGGAGCAACGGG